GAUAUCUUCAUCAAUGAAUACAUCAAUAUCAGAGCUGACAGGUACCACCCAAUCUGACAGCUCUCUGGUUGAAGACAAUGAAGAAUAUAUAAAUGCUCUUGGAACAAGACCGCCAAUACCAGAUGACUUCAUGAUGAAGGAUGAAUACAUCUUUGUUUCACUGUUGUACUGACGAAGAAAGUAGACCAAGUGCUUCAACUAUUGUUGCCUCACUUGAACCAAUCAUUGAGCAAAGAGGAAUAACAGUUUAGAUUGUGUAAAUGUAUUGAACUGUAUCUAAGUAAAUGGAUCGGCGACACAACCUUGUUUGAGUCGAGGUUUGAGUUACAGGACACAGGAAAAUGCUUUGUAAAUCUUUCAUCUGUUUCAUGACGUUUUGACUUUCAUGACUUCGCGGGCACAACGGAGAGGUUCAACGUUGACUUCGAUUACCGCUACCUCUCGCUGCAUGGUUUCAUGCGCAUCUGAUUGGUUAUUCGGAUAUAUCAAACGCAUCUGAUUGGUUAAUUAACAAUUAUUCACCGAAGGCGAGGUGAUAUCGGUGAAUAAAAACCGAGACGAAGUCGAGGUUUUUAUUCCCGAUAAUCACCGAGCCUGAGGUGAAUAAUUGUUUUAGUAUAAUUUCAUAGGUGAUUAUUUGGGGAAAAUCGCUUAGGUGAUUAUCGCGUAAUAAUCACCUCAACGGUAACCAAUCAGCGUGGAGAAUUUUCAAUAAUCACCUAUGUAAUUAUACUAAUGUCCCUUAAUGGUAGUGGGAGUCAAAUCUGAACCUCUCUAAUAUAAUACCAUAGGCAGGCAGAAAAUAUACCGCUAUCUUCACAUGGAAGUAACUAAAAUAAAAUAUAUUUUAAUCAAUUAGUUAAUUAAAGUUUAAAACUAUGCUUGAAUGUUCUUGUUUAUAUUAAAGUGAUUUUGCU